rnacentral:siRNA from 1 species
ACGCACUCCAGAGACAAGACC